rnacentral:rRNA from 1 species
AGGGGCGAGGUUACCGGAUUCACUGGGCGUAAAGGGGAGCAGGCGAUCCAGUAUGUCGGGUGUGAAAUUCCACAGCUCAACUGUGAAUUGCGCCCGAAACUACUGGGUUUGGGGCUGGUAGAGGGAGACGGAACUGCUGGAGUAGGGGUGAAAUCCGUAGAUAUCAGCAGGAACGCCGGUGGGGAAGCCGGUCUCCUGGGCCAAGCCCGACGCUGAGGCCCGAAAGCUAGGGGAGCAAACCGGAUUAGAUACCCGGGUAGUCCUAGCCGUAAACGAUGCCCACUAGGUGUGGGGGAGUCAUUCCUCCGUGCUGUAGCUAACGCGUUAAGUGGGCCGCCUGGGGAGUACGCCCGCAAGGUGAAACUCAAAGGAAUUGGCGGGACCCGCACAAGCGUGGAGCGUGUGGUUAAUUGGAUGCUAAGCCAGAACCUUACCARGGCUUGACAUGCAGGUGGUACAACCCCGAAAGGGAAGGGAC